rnacentral:rRNA from 1 species
CCUACGGGUGGCUGCAGUGAGGAAUAUUGGUCAAUGGACGAGAGUCUGAACCAGCCAAGUAGCGUGAAGGAUGACUGCCCUAUGGGUUGUAAACUUCUUUUAUAAAGGAAUAAAACGAGGCACGUGUGCCUUUUUGUAUGUACUUUAUGACUAAGGAUCGGCUAACUCCGUGCCAGCAGCCGCGGUAAUACGGAGGAUCCGAGCGUUAUCCGGAUUUAUUGGGUUUAAAGGGAGCGUAGGUGGGUUGUUAAGUCAGUUGUGAAAGUUUGCGGCUCAACCGUAAAAUUGCAAUUGAUACUGGCAGUCUUGAGUACAGUUGAGGUAGGCGGAAUUCGUGGUGUAGCGGUGAAAUGCUUAGAUAUCACGAAGAACCCCGAUUGCGAAGGCAGCUUACUAAACUGUGACUGACAUUGAUGCUCGAAAGUGUGGGUAUCAAACAGGAUUAGAUACCCCAGUAGUC